AGAUUGAACGCUGGCGGCAUGCCUUACACAUGCAAGUCGAACGGCAGCACGGGGGCAACCCUGGUGGCGAGUGGCGAACGGGUGAGUAAUAUAUCGGAACGUGCCCUAGAGUGGGGGAUAACGUAGCGAAAGUUACGCUAAUACCGCAUACGAUCUACGGAUGAAAGUGGGGGAUCGCAAGACCUCAUGCUCGUGGAGCGGCCGAUAUCUGAUUAGCUAGUUGGUAGGGUAAAAGCCUACCAAGGCGACGAUCAGUAGCUGGUCUGAGAGGACGACCAGCCACACUGGGACUGAGACACGGCCCAGACUCCUACGGGAGGCAGCAGUGGGGAAUUUUGGACAAUAGGGGGCAACCCUGAUCCAGCAAUGCCGCGUGAGUGAAGAAGGCCUUCGGAUUGUAAAGCACUUUCGACGGGACGAUAAUGACGGUACCCGUAGAAGAAGCCCGGCUAACUUCGUGCCAGCAGCCGCGGUAA
rnacentral:rRNA from 1 species